rnacentral:rRNA from 1 species
UACGGAAGGCAGCAGUGGGGAAUAUUGCACAAUGGGCGCAAGCCUGAUGCAGCCAUGCCGCGUGUAUGAAAAAGGCCUUCGGGUUGUAAAGUACUUUCAGUCGUGAGGAAGGUGUUAAGGUUAAUAACCUUAGCAAUUGACGUUAGCGACAGAAGAAGCACCGGCUAACUCCGUGCCAGCAGCCGCGGUAAUACGGAGGGUGCGAGCGUUAAUCGGAAUUACUGGGCGUAAAGGGCACGCAGGCGGUUAAUUAAGUUGGAUGUGAAAUCCCCGGGCUUAACCUGGGAAUGGCAUUCAAGACUGGUUAGCUAGAGUCUUGUAGAGGGGGUAGAAUUCCAUGUGUAGCGGUGAAAUGCGUAGAGAUGUGGAGGAAUACCGGUGGCGAAGGCGGCCCCUGGACAAAGACUGACGCUCAUGCGCGAAAGCGUGGGGAGCGAAAACAGGGAUUAAGAUACC